GACGAAGGAUGCAAGCGUUAUCCGGAUUCAUUGGGGUUAAAGGGUGCGUAGGCGGACUGAUAAGUCAGUGGUGAAAUCUCUCAGCUUAACUGAGAAACUGCCAUUGAUACUGUCGGUCUAGAGUAUAGAUGACGUUGGCGGAAUAUGACAUGUAGUGGUGAAAUACUUAGAUAUGUCAUAGAACACCGAUUGCGAAGGCAGCUAACGAAACUAUAACUGACGCUGAGGCACGAAAGUGCGGGGAUCAAACAGG
rnacentral:rRNA from 1 species